UGCGCAGGCGGCCAUGUGUGUCAGGUGUGAAAUACCGGGGCUUAACCCCGGAACUGCGCCUGAAACUACAUGGCUAGAGUACUGGAGAGGGUAGUGGGAUUCACGGUGUAGCAGUGAAAUGCGUAGAUAUCGUGAGGAACACCAGAGGCGAAGGCGACUACCUGGACAGUUACUGACGCUCAGGCACGAAAGCGUGGGGAGCCAAAGGGAUUAGAUACCCCUGUAGUCCACGCCCUAAACGGUGCACACUAGGUCUUGGCGGAUUCGACCCCGCCAGGGCCCAAGCUAACGCGUUAAGUGUGCCGCCUGAGGACUACGGCCGCAAGGCUAAA
rnacentral:rRNA from 1 species